ACACUUUCCUUGCUUACAUAAGUAUGCAAAUUUGGAGAAGGAAGUUCAUCAGAUUGAAGAACAAUCAUCGAUACCUAUAAUCAUACAUAACAUCUUCUAGCCAGAGCCGAUCUCCAUCUUCUCAUGGAAAAUCAUCAAAACCAAGAUAGAACAAGCGACAACAAGUCAGCAGCUUGUUGUCCUCCGGUGACAAGAAACAAGGGCACGGGCAAGAACAGAAGCUUCCUUGAAGGAUGUCUCUUUGCUUUGUGCUGCUGCUGGCUGUGGGAUGCUUGCUUUGAUCUGUAGAAUAAUUAAGGAGCAGUCAUCAGAUAUGGCAACAUGAAAUUACAUCUAAAACGUUGAUCUCUGUUGAUCUAUAUUUAUGUUGUAUUUCAACAAAUACGGUAAUCGUGCUGUAAUGCAGUUUGCAUUAAAGCUCUAAGUUAUAGCAUUUAGUCAUGUAAUUAUACUUUUUUUUCGUCGAUGCGAUGGAAAGAAAAAGUAUACACUUCACGUAUGAGUGAUUAAUAAAAAAAUUACAUGAUGUUUUGAGUGCAAUUCAAUCAAACUUGUUGAAUUGAUAUAACACAUGUAUUCUUGUUCAAUGUUUAACAAAGGUAAUUAAUUUUAUGAUGGUUUGAGUUGUAAA